AUUGAACGCUGGCGGCAGGCCUAACACAUGCAAGUCGAGCGAGCGGCGGACGGGUGAGUAAUGUCUGGGAAACUGCCGGAUGGAGGGGGAUAACUACUGGAUACGGUAGCUAAUACCGCAUACCAUCCGAUUUGCCCAGAUGGGAUUAGCUAGUAGGUGGGGUAACGGCGCACCUAGGCGACGAUCCCUAGCUGGUCUGAGAGGAUGACCAGCCACACUGGAACUGAGACACGGUCCAGACUCCUACGGGAGGCAGCAGUGGGGAAUAUUGGACAAUGGGCGAAAGCCUGAUGCAGCAAUGCCGCGUGUGUGAAGAAGGCCUUCGGGUUGUAAAGCACUUUCAGCGGGGAGGCGUUACCCGCAGAAGAAGCAACGGCUAACUCCGUGCCAGCAGCCGCGGUAAUAC
rnacentral:rRNA from 1 species